rnacentral:sRNA from 1 species
AGGGGGUGCCUUUCAGGCAUCCUCUCCCAACUAAAACGGGCCGGUCCGAUGACCGGCCUUUUUUUUGCCCGCC